GACAGAGGAUGCAAGCGUUAUCCGGAAUGAUUGGGCGUAAAGCGUCUGUAGGUGGCUUUUUAAGUCCGCCGUCAAAUCCCAGGGCUCAACCCUGGACAGGCGGUGGAAACUACCAAGCUGGAGUACGGUAGGGGCAGAGGGAAUUUCCGGUGGAGCGGUGAAAUGCGUAGAGAUCCGGAAGAACACCAGUGGCGAAGGCGGCCCGCUGGGCAGUGGCUGACGCUGAGGCGCGACAGCGUGGGGAGCAAACGAGG
rnacentral:rRNA from 1 species